rnacentral:tRNA from 1 species
GUUUUAAUAGUUUAACAUAAAAACGAUAAUUUUGUAAAUUAUUAAUUACUUUUUAAUAAGUUUAAAGCU